CAAUAGCGUAUAUUUAAGUUGUUGCAGUUAAAAAGCUCGUAGUUGGAUUUCUGGUGGGAGCGAUCGGUCUGGCGCUUAGCGCGAGUACUUGCAUCGUCUCCGGCCAUCCUUGGGGAGAGUCUGUCUGGCAUUAGGUUGUCGGGCAGAGGAUCCUCAUCGUUUACUGUGAAAAAAUUAGAGUGUUCAAAGCAGGCUUAUGCCGUUGAAUAUAUUAGCAUGAAAUAAUAAGAUAGGACUUUGGUACUAUUUUGUUGGUUUGCGCACCAAAGUAAUGAUUAAUAGGGACAGUUGGGGGUAUUCGUAUUCCGUUGUCAGAGGUGAAAUUCUUGGAUUUACGGAAGACGAACUACUGCGAAAGCAUUUACCAAGGAUGUUUUCAUUAA
rnacentral:rRNA from 1 species